UACGUAGGGGGCAAGCGUUGUCCGGAUUUAUUGGGCGUAAAGAGCGUGUAGGCGGCCACACAGGUCCGCUGUGAAAACUCGAGGCUCAACCUCGAGCUGUCGGUGGAAACCGUGUGGCUAGAGUCCGGAAGAGGAGAGUGGAAUUCCCGGUGUAGCGGUGAAAUGCGCAGAUAUCGGGAAGAACACCCGUGGCGAAGGCGGCUCACUGGCCCGGUACUGACGCUGAGGUGCGAAAGCGUGGGGAGCAAACAGG
rnacentral:rRNA from 1 species